rnacentral:rRNA from 1 species
CAAGUCGCGUGCGCAGUUGCCGUAGCAAUACGGUGAUGGGCGCACGGCGCACGGGUGCGUAACACGUGGGCAAUCUGCCCUUUGAUGGGGAAUAACCCGCCGAAAGGCGGGCUAAUUCCGCAUAAGAUUCCCGGAACUUUGGCUCUGGGAUUGAAAGCAGCAAUGCGUCGAAGGAGGAGCCCGCGCCCGAUUAGCUAGUUGGUGAGGUAACGGCUCACCAAGGCUAUGAUCGGUAGCUGGUCUGAGAGGAUGAUCAGCCACACUGGAACUGAGACACGGUCCAGACUCCUACGGGAGGCAGCAGUGGGGAAUCUUGCACAAUGGGCGAAAGCCUGAUGCAGCGACGCCGCGUGGGGGAUGAAGCAUUUCGGUGUGUAAACCCCUUUCGACUGGGACGAAUGCCUCGCAAGAGGAGUGACGGUACCAGUAGAAGAAGCCCCGGCUAACUACGUGCCAGCAGCCGCGGUAAGACGUAGGGGGCCAGCGUUGUUCGGAAUUACUGGGUGUAAAGGGUUCGUAGGCGGUGCGGCAAGUUGGGAGUGAAAUCUUUGGGCUUAACCCAGAGGCUGCUUCCAAAACUGCUGUGCUCGAGUGUGAGAGAGGCGCGUGGAAUUGCAGGUGUAGCGGUGAAAUGCGUAGAUAUCUGCAGGAACACCCGUGGCGAAAGCGGCGCGCUGGAUCACUACUGACGCUGAGGAACGAAAGCUAGGGGAGCAAACAGGAUUAGAUACCCUGGUAGUCCUAGCCCUAAACGAUCAGGACUUGGGGUGCCGCCCGUUCGGGCGUCGUCCCGGAGCUAACGCGUUAAGUCC